GAUGAACGCUGGCGACGUGCCUAAUACAUGCAAGUCGAGCGAACGGACGAGAAGCUUGCUUCUCUGAUGUUAGCGGCGGACGGGUGAGUAACACGUGGAUAACCUACCUAUAAGACUGGGAUAACUUCGGGAAACCGGAGCUAAUACCGGAUAAUAUUUUGAACCGCAUGGUUCAAAAGUGAAAGACGGUCUUGCUGUCACUUAUAGAUGGAUCCGCGCUACAUUAGCUAGUUGGUAAGGUAACGGCUUACCAAGGCAACGAUGCAUAGCCGACCUGAGAGGGUGAUCGGCCACACUGGAACUGAGACACGGUCCAGACUCCUACGGGAGGCAGCAGUAGGGAAUCUUCCGCAAUGGGCGAAAGCCUGACGGAGCAACGCCGCGUGAGUGAUGAAGGUCUUCGGAUCGUAAAACUCUGUUAUUAGGGAAGAACAUAUGUGUAAGUAACUGUGCACAUCUUGACGGUACCUAAUCAGAAAGCCACGGCUAACUACGUG
rnacentral:rRNA from 1 species